CACGUAGGCGGGCCGUCUUGCGUCCUGUGAAAUCCCCCGGCCUAACCGGGGAAUGGCAGGGCGAACGGGCGGCCUUGAGGCAGGUAGAGGUGUGGGGAACUCUUGGUGGAGCGGUGGAAUGCGUAGAUAUCAAGAGGAACGCCGGAGACGAAGGUGCCGCACUGGGCCUGUCCUGACGCUGAGGUGCGAAAGCCAGGGGAGCAAACGGGGAUUAGAUACCCCGGUAGUCCUGGCCCUAAACGAUGUCCGCUAGGUCGGUGGUUCUCUGACGGAUCACUGGCCGAAACAAAAGCGAUAAGUGGACCGCCUGGGGAGUACGGUCGCAAGGCUAAAA
rnacentral:rRNA from 1 species